GGAAGGUGGGUGGAGGCAGCGUGGGGAAUACGAAGGGUGGGAACGUGAGUCGGAGUCACUGGGGUUACAGGGUGGGUGGGGGGGUUGUUAAGUAGGGGGUGAAAGCCACCGGUUCAACCGUGGAAGUGCGGCCUAAACUGGCGAGCUGGAGUGGGGUAGGGGUGGGUGGAACUUCCGGUGGAGCGGUGAAAUGUGUUGAUAUCGGAAGGAACGCCGGUGGCGAAAGCGACACACUGGAUCUUGUCUGACGCUGAGGCACGAAAGCCAGGGGAGCGAACGGGAUUAGAUACCCCGGUAGUC
rnacentral:rRNA from 1 species